rnacentral:rRNA from 1 species
GACGAACCGUGCGAACGUUGUUCGGAUUCACUGGGCUUAAAGGGCGCGUAGGCGGCUUGCCAAGUCAGGGGUGAAAUCUUUCGGCUCAACCGGAAAAGUGCUUCUGAUACUGGCAGGCUGGAGGGAGGUAGGGGCAGAUGGAACUUCCGGUGGAGCGGUGAAAUGCGUAGAUAUCGUUUGGAACGCCAAUGGUGAAAACAGGUUGCUGGGGGUGUGCUGACGCUGAGACACGAAAGCCAGGGGAGCAAACGGG